AAGACAGAGAGAGAGAGAUAGAGAAAGAGAGAGAGAGGGAUAGAAUGUAUAAGUCAGUGCACGCGCGCGCGCAAGUGAAAGAGAGAGAGAGAGAGAGAGAGAGCCAUCGCAUGUAUAUACGUGGCAGCUAGGAGGCAGCGAGCGAGCGAGUGAGCGAGCGCGCGCUGUUCCCUCUGGCGCACGUCUGCCCUUUUAUAACUUCGCGAAUAAGUCUUCUUCCCUUCCUAGUUCGUGAAAACAAAAACAAAGAAGAAAAACAAAAGAAAAAAAAAAUGAUCUUUACGAGAUUUAACAUUUUACUAGGUCCCAUUUUAUAAAUUUUUCUUCCUUUAUAUUAUAUUAAAACUCGGUUUGAUUGCAUUUAAUAAUCAGAAUAUAUGUAUACAUACGUACAUAUAUAUACAUAUAUAUAUAUAUAUAUAUAUUACUAUAUCUUUCAAUGAUCGUAUUGCAUUCCAACGAUAUGUUACAGUCCAGGAAGAGAAAGAGAGGAUAAGAGAACUGCAAAACAUUGUAAAAAUUUCAUCGAACGUUUCGCUUAUAAAAUAUUAAUCAAAGAGAAUAUGGAUCGUUACAACGAUACGCAAUUUGAUUAUCGCAUAGCUGUGACCUACGAUGAACGCACACCGUCCGUAUAGAAUUAUAGGAUGACAAUGAUGAUGAUGAUGACAAUGAUGAUGAUGAUGAUGAUGACAAUGAUGAUGAUGAUGAUGAUGAUGAUGAUGACGAUGAUGAUGAUGAUAAUGAAGAGAGAAUCGAUUGCAUCUACGAAGUCAGGGAUCCAUUAUAAAGGCAACCUGUCAAUUAUGAAGAGAGCGGAAGUUCAGGAAGGCGUAUUAUCUAACUCGAUGCAAGCAUCGUACGGAAGUAGCUUCGUAGAGAGCCCAUAGCUCUCUUCCUAACCUUACUCUCUUCUCUUCUCCUCCUUCUCCUUCUCUAACCUCUCUUCACCCUCUAUACACACCCCAACUACUAUAUAACUAGCUCCUCUUCCUCUUUUUCUUCUUCUUCUUCUUCUUCUUUUUCUAUUUUAUCUAUAUUAAUUUUAUUAUUUCAUUGAUAUAUAAAAGUUUCUAUCAUUUUUAAAACAAACGUCAGAGUUUAGGUAUGCAAGAAACGAAAGAUGCAACGACGUCUCUUAUGCUUAGCCAGCGUUCCCCGGCAAUGUAUCGGGUGUGUUCGUUUCAAGGACGACACAACGGUACCUUCUCGGCUUCCAAAGGAGUGAGAUAGAGACAGAAACACACACACACACACACACAGCAGUAGACAGACACAGAGAGAGAGAGAGAGAGAGAGAGAGAGAGGGAGAGAGAGAGAGAGAGACACACAGAAAGAUGAAAAGAGAGAGAGGGAGGAGGGAGGGGAGAGAAGUUCGCAAAAUCUUUCCAAGAAUAUACAGCAAAUGUUGGCUCUUGGCACGAAUCCUAAAUCGCAUCGAUGAAGAAACUAAGUUGUUACUUUGUAUUUACCUUGGUAAGCGUGGCGAAAGAGAGAGAGAGAGAAAGAGAGAGAAAGAGAGAGAGAAAGAGAGAGAGAGACCUUCGUAUAACCAAGCGGACGCGGGAGGUAAGGUAAGGAGACUCCGUUCACAGCUCUCCAAGAUGCUGUCGUUUAUGACGCGGGAAAACCUGCGUGACCAGAUAGUCUAUCUCUUCACCGUGAAGGAGUUCAAUUGCCCGAGAGGAACGACAGAAAGAAAGAAAUAGCGGACUGAAUAUUACACACACGCAAUCACACACACGCACAUACACAACCGCCAUGAAGUUGCCCGAGUAACAAAGCCUUAUAUGAUUGGUUAAUCCGUAGAAAGCGCGAAUUUUGAAUGGAAUAUUUGCUUUCGAUUCGUUUGUACAUCGAUUAAAAUUUGAUAUUAUGCGACGAAUUAAUCUUAUAAUUCGUAGAAAUAUCUUAUUCGUGAUAUGACGAAAUUGAAUGCCACGAUGAAAUUGUAAAAGAAAAUGAUCAGUCAAAAUCUCAGUGAAAAGAUGGGGAAAUUUGGAAAUUUUCGCUUUUCAUUCGUUCAUUGAAUUCAAAUUUUAAAUCAAAUCGAAUUAGUUUUAUUUGUUAUAAAUAAUAAUACAAGAAAUAACGAACUACUAUAUAUUAUAUACUAUUAUGUUGAAGUACCUGAAAAACGAAGCUCCAUGAUUGGUCAGGCCAAAAAUCUCUUCAAAAAAAAGAGGGAGAGAGAGAAACUCAAUUUUUGAAAUGUACCUUUCGGAAUGAAUUUUCUUUCUUUUGAUUCAUACAAAUAAUAAAAGAAAUGACAGACCAAAUACAUAUAUAAAAAAAGAAGUAUAAUUAAUAAGACGAAUAAUGGUCUAAAUACUAUUACCGUAUAAAUUAUCGAAAUAACGAAUGUUACGAUUGGCCAAUUUGAAACGCACAAAAAGAGCGCGAGUUUUGAAAUCUUAUUACUCCCUAAAAAAAUAUUCUUUUUGAUCUUACAAAUAAUGCGAGAAAUAGAGAAUUGAAAUAUUUAUAUAAAAGAAAAGUA